UGCGUAGGCGGAUUAAUAAGUCAGUGGUGAAAACCUGCAGCUUAACUGUAGAACUGCCAUUGAAACUGUUAGUCUUGAGUACGGUCAAGGUAGGCGGAAUGUGUAAUGUAGCGGUGAAAUGCUUAGAUAUUACACAGAACACCGAUUGCGAAGGUAGCUUACUGGACCAUUACUGACGCUGAGGCACGAAAGCGUGGGGAGCGAACAGGAUUAGAUACCCUGGUAGUCC
rnacentral:rRNA from 1 species